rnacentral:rRNA from 1 species
GUUGUAUGGUUAAGUGACGAAGCGUAUACGGUGGAUGCCUUGGCAGUUAGAGGCGAUGAAGGACGUGUAAGUCUGCGAAAAGCUGUGGUGAGCCGACAAAAUGCAUUUGAGCCACAGAUGUCCGAAUGGGGAAACCCACCUAUUUAUAGGUAUCGUUGCAUGAAUACAUAGUGUAACGAGGCAAACGAGGGGAACUGAAACAUCUAAGUACCCUUAGGAAAAGAAAUCAACCGAGAUUCCCCUAGUAGCGGCGAGCGAACGGGGAGCAGCCCUUAAGCUGUUUAGAAUUUAGUGGAAUCCUUUGGGAAGAGGAGCGAUACAGGGUGAUAGCCCCGUACACGACGGAUUCUUUACAGUGAAAUCGAGUAGGUCGGGACACGUGUUAUCUUGACUGAAUAUGGGGGGACCAUCCUCCAAGGCUAAAUACUCCUAACUGACCGAUAGUGAACCAGUACCGUGAGGGAAAGGCGAAAAGAACCCCUGUGAGGGGAGUGAAAUAGAACCUGAAACCGUAUACGUACAAGCAGUGGGAGCCCUUCGGGGUGACUGCGUACCUUUUGUAUAAUGGGUCAGCGACUUAUAUUUAGUAGCAAGGUUAAGUGAAUAACGGAGCCGUAGCGAAAGCGAGUGUUAACUGCGCGUUUAGUUGCUAGGUAUAGACCCGAAACCCGGUGAUCUAGCCAUGGGCAGGUUGAAGGUUGAGUAACAUCAACUGGAGGACCGAACCCACUAACGUUGAAAAGUUAGGGGAUGACCUGUGGCUGGGGGUGAAAGGCCAAUCAAACCGGGAGAUAGCUGGUUCUCCCCGAAAUCUAUUUAGGUAGAGCCUCGGACGAAUUCCAUUGGGGGUAGAGCACUGUUAAGGCUAGGGGGUCAUCCCGACUUACCAACCCUUUGCAAACUCCGAAUACCAAUGAGAACUAUCCGGGAGACACACGGCGGGUGCUAACGUCCGUCGUGGAGAGGGAAACAACCCAGACCGCCAGCUAAGGUCCCAAAAUAUUGCUAAGUGGGAAACGAUGUGGGAAGGCAUAGACAGCUAGGAGGUUGGCUUAGAAGCAGCCACCCUUUAAAGAAAGCGUAAUAGCUCACUAGUCGAGUCGGCCUGCGCGGAAGAUGUAACGGGGCUAAGCAAUAUACCGAAGCUGCGGCAGCAUGUUUACAUGCUGGGUAGGGGAGCGUUGUGUAAGUGGAUGAAGGUGAGUUGUAAAGCUUGCUGGACAUAUCACAAGUGCGAAUGCUGACAUGAGUAACGAUAAUGGGAGUGAAAAACUCCCACGCCGGAAGACCAAGGUUUCCUGUCCCAUGCUAAUCAGGGCAGGGUAAGUCGGCCCCUAAGGCGAGGCAGAAAUGCGUAGUCGAUGGGAAACGGGUUAAUAUUCCCGUACUUAUAUAAUCAGUGAUGGAGGGACGGAGAAGGCUAGGCAAGCUUGGCGUUGGUUGUCCAAGUGAAAGUGCGUAGGCUGAGAACUUAGGUAAAUCCGGGUUUUCAAGGCCGAGACACGAGACGAGCUCCCAAGGGAGUGAAGUUGUUGAUGCCCUGCUUCCAGGAAAAGCUUCUAAACUUAUGAUUAUAUGAACCGUACCCCAAACCGACACAGGUGGUCAGGUAGAGAAUACUAAGGCGCUUGAGAGAACUCGGGUGAAGGAACUCGGCAAAAUUGUACCGUAACUUCGGGAGAAGGUACGCCUCUGUUUGUGAACACUUCGCGUGGUAAGCAAGUGGAGGCCGCAGUGACCAGGUGGCUGGGACUGUUUAUUAAAAACACAGCACUCUGCAAACUCGUAAGAGGACGUAUAGGGUGUGACACCUGCCCGGUGCCGGAAGGUUAAUUGAUGGGGUUAGUUUUCGGACGAAGCUCUUGAUCGAAGCCCCGGUAAACGGCGGCCGUAACUAUAACGGUCCUAAGGUAGCGAAAUUCCUUGUCGGGUAAGUUCCGACCUGCACGAAUGGUGUAACCAUGGCCACGCUGUCUCCACCCGAGACUCAGUGAAAUUGAAAUCGCAGUGAAGAUGCUGUGUACCCGCACCUAGACGGAAAGACCCCGUGAACCUUUACUACAGCUUGGCACUGAACAUUGAACCUACAUGUGUAGGAUAGGUGGGAGGCUUUGAAGCACAGUCGCUAGAUUGUGUGGAGCCGUCCUUGAAAUACCACCCUUGUAUGUUUGAUGUUCUAACAUUGGUCCCUAAUCGGGAUUGUGGACAGUGUCUGGUGGGUAGUUUGACUGGGGCGGUCUCCUCCCAAAUAGUAACGGAGGAGCACGAAGGUUAGCUAAUCACGGUCGGACAUCGUGAGGUUAGUGCAAUGGCAUAAGCUAGCUUAACUGCGAGACAGACACGUCGAGCAGGUACGAAAGUAGGUCAUAGUGAUCCGGUGGUUCUGUAUGGAAGGGCCAUCGCUCAACGGAUAAAAGGUACUCCGGGGAUAACAGGCUGAUACCGCCCAAGAGUUCAUAUCGACGGCGGUGUUUGGCACCUCGAUGUCGGCUCAUCACAUCCUGGGGCUGAAGUCGGUCCCAAGGGUAUGGCUGUUCGCCAUUUAAAGUGGUACGCGAGCUGGGUUUAGAACGUCGUGAGACAGUUCGGUCCCUAUCUGGUGUGGGCGUUGGAUGAUUGAUGGGAGCUGCUCCUAGUACGAGAGGACCGGAGUGGACGAACCGCUGGUGUUCGGGUUGUCAUGCCAAUGGCAUUGCCCGGUAGCUAUGUUCGGAACGGAUAACCGCUGAAAGCAUCUAAGCGGGAAGCCGGCCCAAAGAUGAGUCAUCCCUGAACUUUAAGUUCUGGAAGGGUUGUUAUAGACGAUGACGUUGAUAGGCAGGGUGUGGAAGCGUUGUAAGGCGUUAAGCUAACCUGUACUAAUUGCCCGAGAGGCUUAACCAUACAACGCCCAAGAAGCUUU